rnacentral:rRNA from 1 species
AUUGAACGCUGGCGGCAUGCCUUACACAUGCAAGUCGAACGGCAGCACGGGAGCAAUCCUGGUGGCGAGUGGCGAACGGGUGAGUAAUAUAUCGGAACGUGCCCAGUCGUGGGGGAUAACGCAGCGAAAGCUGUGCUAAUACCGCAUACGAUCUACGGAUGAAAGCGGGGGAUCGCAAGACCUCGCGCGAUUGGAGCGGCCGAUAUCAGAUUAGCUAGUUGGUGGGGUAAAGGCCCACCAAGGCGACGAUCUGUAGCUGGUCUGAGAGGAGGACGAGCCACACUGGAACUGGGCCACGGUCCAGACUCCUACGGGAGGCAGAAGUGGGGAAGUUUGGACAAGGGGCGCAAGCCUGAUCCAGCAAUGCCGCGUGCAGGAUGAAGGCCUUCGGGUUGUAAACUGCUUUUGUACGGAGCGAAAAGGCUCUCUCUAAUACAGGGGGCUCAUGACGGUACCGUAAGAAUAAGCACCGGCUAACUACGUGCCAGCCGCCGCGGUAAAAC